rnacentral:rRNA from 1 species
CAGCAGCCGCGGGAAUACGUAGGGUGCGAGCGUUAAUCGGAAUUACUGGGCGUAAAGCGUGCGCAGGCGGUUGUGUAAGACAGGUGUGAAAUCCCCGGGCUUAACCUGGGAAUUGCGCUUGUGACUGCACAGCUAGAGUAUGGCAGAGGGGGGUGGAAUUCCACGUGUAGCAGUGAAAUGCGUAGAGAUGUGGAGGAACACCGAUGGCGAAGGCAGCCCCCUGGGCCAAUACUGACGCUCAUGCACGAAAGCGUGGGGAGCAAACAGGAUUAGAUACCCCCGUAGUCCCUGUCUCUUAUAC